rnacentral:sRNA from 1 species
UCCCAGAACUUCUCAAGGCUCCUGCGAAU